AACCUACGGGGCGCAGCAGUGGGGAAUAUUGCACAAUGGGGGAACCCUGAUGCAGCGACGCCGCGUGAGUGAAGAAGUAUUUCGGUAUGUAAAGCUCUGUCAGCAGGGAAGAAGAAAGACGGUACCUGACCAAGAAGCCCCGGCUGACUACGUGCCAGCAGCCGCGGUAAUACGUAGGGGGCAAGCGUUAUCCGGAUUUACUGGGUGUAAAGGGAGCGUAGACGGUUCUGCAAGUCUGAAGUGAAAGCCCGUGGCUUAACCGCGGAACGGCUUUGGAAACUGUGG
rnacentral:rRNA from 1 species